UCCGGCGGUCAAAGAUGGGCAUGCGUGCCAUUAGUUAGUUGGUGAGGUUACGGCUCACCAAGACAACGAUGGCUAGGGGGUCUGAGAGGAUGAUCCCCCACACUGGUACUGAGACACGGACCAGACUCCGUACGGGAGGCAGCAGUGAGGAAUAUUGGUCAAUGGACGCAAGUCUGAACCAGCCAUGCCGCGUGCAGGAUGAAUGCCCUAUGGGUUGUAAACUGCUUUUCUACAAGAAGAAACUUCCUGAUGUAUCAGGAACUGACGGUAUUGUAGGAAUAAGCAUCGGCUAACUCCGUGCCAGCAGCCGCGGUAAUACGGAGGAUGCAAGCGUUAUCCGGAUUCAUUGGGUUUAAAGGGUGCGUAGGCGGGGUAGUAAGUCAGUGGUGAAAGCCUGCGGCUUAACCGUAGAAUUGCCAUUGAUACUGCUAUUCUUGAGUGCAGUUGAGGUAGGCGGAAUGUGUAAUGUAGCGGUGAAAUGCUUAGAUAUUACACAGAACACCGAUUGCGUAGGCAGCUUACUAAACUGUAACUGACGCUGAGGCACGAAAGCGUGGGGAGCGAACAGGAUUAGAUACCCUGGUAGUCCACGCUGUAAACUAUGAUCACUCGCUGUUGGCGAUACAUUGUCAGCGGCUGAGCGAAAGCAUUAAGUGAUCCACCUGGGGAGUACGGCCGCAAGGUUGAAACUCAAAGGAAUUGACGGGGGCCCGCACAAGCGGUGGAACAUGUGGUUUAAUUCGAUGAUACGCGAGGAACCUUACCUGGGCUUAAAUGCAGAACGACGUACCGGGAAACUGGUACUCCCUUCGGGGCGGACUGCAAGGUGCUGCAUGGUUGUCGUCAGCUCGUGCCGUGAGGUGUCGGGUUAAGUCCCAUAACGAGCGCAACCCUCAUUGUUAGUUGCCAGCGAGUAAUGUCGGGGACUCUAACGAAACUGCCGGUGUAAACCGUGAGGAAGGUGGGGAUGACGUCAAAUCAGCACGGCCCUUAUGUCCAGGGCUACACACGUGUUACAAUGGCCAGUACAAAGGGCAGCUACCACGCGAGUGGAUGCUAAUCUCUAAAGCUGGUCUCAGUUCGGAUUGAAGUCUGCAACUCGACUUCAUGAAGCUGGAAUCGCUAGUAAUCGC
rnacentral:rRNA from 1 species